rnacentral:rRNA from 1 species
GAGUUUGAUCGUGGCUCAGAUUGAACGCUGGCGGCAUGCCUUACACAUGCAAGUCGAACGGCAGCACGGGAGCUUGCUCCUGGUGGCGAGUGGCGAACGGGUGAGUAAUGCAUCGGAACGUAUCCUGGAGUGGGGGAUAACGUAGCGAAAGUUACGCUAAUACCGCAUAUUCUGUGAGCAGGAAAGCGGGGGACCUUCGGGCCUCGCGCUCUUGGAGCGGCCGAUGUCGGAUUAGCUAGUUGGUGAGGUAAAGGCUCACCAAGGCGACGAUCCGUAGCAGGUCUGAGAGGAUGAUCUGCCACACUGGAACUGAGACACGGUCCAGACUCCUACGGGAGGCAGCGAGGUAGGGUAGUUU